rnacentral:lncRNA from 1 species
CCAGCACGGAACAGCUUUGCUGAAGUACAUUUUUGCCAGGGCAGGUCCCUCUGAAGAGCGACGGCGCUGACCCGGGGGGAUCAUAAUGUGGACACCGGCACAGCAAUGAGAUAAUGCUGUAAACUUCGAGAUAAUGCUGUAAACUUCAACCCCAGAUAAAAGCCAAGCUCUGACUCCAACAUCCUGCACCUCCAGCUGCUCUCCCCUGUUCUCAGUUCCAGUCCCAGCAGCCCCCAAAGCCAGGGAAACACUGCACGGAACAACCGCCCGCUGGAAAGUUUACUUGUCUCCACUGGCUGUGUUUGGAUUUAACUCUGACAGCUCUGCUGAGACGCACAGAGACCUCGGGCAGCACGGCCAGGGAGGGGCUUUCCCCCUCCUCACUUCACAUGAUUUACAGUCAGUAACCAAUUCCAAGAGGUGGGUUUCAAGAAGGCAAGACAUUAAAUAUUAAGAAGUUUGCGAGCAACAGCAACACCUCCAGUGGUGGAACAGCCCCACUUUUGGCAGCAUUUUGAACAAAGCUGAGCCUAAAUAAUUUUUUCAAGCCGAGAAGAAAGGCAGGGAGCGUGGAAAGGAACCAGGCACCCACCACA